rnacentral:rRNA from 1 species
UACGUAGGGUGCAAGCGUUGUCCGGAAUUAUUUGGCGUAAAGAGCUCGUAGGCGGUCUGUCGCGUCGGAUGUGAAAAUCCAGGGCUCAACCCUGGACCUGCAUUCGAUACGGGCAGACUAGAGUUCGGUAGGGGAGACUGGAAUUCCUGGUGUAGCGGUGGAAUGCGCAGAUAUCAGGAGGAACACCGGUGGCGAAGGCGGUUCUCUGGGCAUUACCUGACGCUGAGGAGCGAAAGCAUGGGGAGCGAACAGG